GAUGAACGCUGGCGGCGUACCUAAUACAUGCGAGUCGAGCGAACAGAUGAGGAGCUUGCUCCUCUGACGUUAGCGGCGGACGGGUGAGUAACACGUGGAUAACCUACCUAUAAGACUGGGAUAACUUCGGGAAACCGGAGCUAAUACCGGAUAAUAUAUUGAACCGCAUGGUUCAAUAGUGAAAGACGGUUUUGCUGUCACUUAUAGAUGGAUCCGCGCCGCAUUAGCUAGUUGGUAAGGUAACGGCUUACCAAGGCAACGAUGCGUAGCCGACCUGAGAGGGUGAUCGGCCACACUGGAACUGAGACACGGUCCAGACUCCUACGGGAGGCAGCAGUAGGGAAUCUUCCGCAAUGGGCGAAAGCCUGACGGAGCAACGCCGCGUGAGUGAUGAAGGUCUUCGGAUCGUAAAACUCUGUUAUUAGGGAAGAACAAAUGUGUAAGUAACUAUGCACGUCUUGACGGUACCUAAUCAGAAAGCCACGGCUAACUACGUG
rnacentral:rRNA from 1 species